rnacentral:rRNA from 1 species
CAAGUCGAGCGGAUUUCAGCAGCGUAUCGCUGAAAUUAGCGGCAGACGGGUGAGUAAUACUUGGGCAAUCUGCCCUUGAGUGGGAAACAACCGGCCGAAAGGCUGGCUAAUGUCCCAUAAGACCACAGGAUGGCAUCAUCCAGGGGUCAAAGCUCCGUAAGGGGCGCUUGAGGAGGAGCCUGAGUCCUAUCAUGGUAGUUGGUGAGGUAACGGCUCACCAAGCCUUUGACGGGUAGCCGGCCUGAAAGGGUGAUCGGCCACACUGGCACUGAGACACGGGCCAGACUCCUACGGGAGGCAGCAGUGGGGAAUUUUGGACAAUGGGGGCAACCCUGAUCCAGCGACGCCGCGUGAAGGAUGAAGGUCUUCGGAUUGUAAACUUCUUUUAGAGGGGAUGAAUGCCCUGGUGAAUAGCCAGGGGUGACAGUACUCUCUGAAUAAGCCACGGCUAACUUCGUGCCAGCAGCCGCGGUAAUACGAAGGUGGCAAGCGAUACUCGGAAUCACUAGGCGUAAAGCGCAGGUAGGCGGUUCGAUAAGUCUUUUGUGAAAGCUCCCGGCUUAACUGGGAGAGGCCAAGGGAAACUGUCGGACUAGAGUGUGGUAGGGGAUACUGGAAUUCCUGGUGUAGCGGUGAAAUGCGUAGAUAUCAGGAGGAAUACCUAUGGCGAAAGCAGGUAUCUGGGCCAUCACUGACGCUGAGCUGCGAAAGCUAGGGGAGCAAACAGGAUUAGAUACCCUGGUAGUCCUAGCCCUAAACGAUGCUCAUUAGAUGUGGGAGGUAUCGACCCCUUCCGCGUCGCAGCUAACGCAUUAAAUGAGCCGCCUGGGGAGUACGGCCGCAAGGUUGAAACUCAAAGGAAUUGACGGGGGCCCGCACAAGCGGUGGAACAUGUGGUUUAAUUCGACGCACC